rnacentral:tRNA from 1 species
UAUAUAGCUCAGCUGGUAGAGCAUCGGACUUUUAAUCCGCGGGUCUUGGGUUCAAAUCCCAAUAU